rnacentral:rRNA from 1 species
GGAAACUUAGCAUAUCAAUAAGCGGAGGAAAAGAAACCAACAGGGAUUGCCCCAGUAACGGCGAGUGAAGCGGCAACAGCUCAAAUUUGAAAUCCGGCCUUGCGGCCCGAGUUGUAAUUUGCAGAGGAUGCUUCUGGCGACGUGCCCUCCGAGUCCCCUGGAACGGGGCGCCGGAGAGGGUGAGAGCCCCGUACGUGGGACACCUAGCCUAUGUGAAGCUCCUUCGACGAGUCGAGUAGUUUGGGAAUGCUGCUCUAAGCGGGAGGUAAAUUCCUUCUAAAGCUAAAUACCGGCCAGAGACCGAUAGCGCACAAGUAGAGUGAUCGAAAGAUGAAAAGCACUUUGGAAAGAGGGUUAAACAGUACGUGAAAUUGCUGAAAGGGAAGCGCUUGCGACCAGACUCGGGCCUGGCGGAUCAUCCGGCGUUCUCGCCGGUGCACUUCGCCCGGCCUGGGCCAGCAUCGGUUCUGCUGGGGGGACAAAAGCCAGGGAAACGUAGCUCCUUCCGGGGAGUGUUAUAGUCCCCGGCCUAAUACCUCCGGCGGGACCGAGGACCGCGCUAACGCAAGGAUGCUGGCGUAAUGGUCGUCAGCGACCCGUCUUGAAACACGGACCAAGGAGUCGAACAACUGUGCGAGUGUUUGGGUGUCUAAACCCUCACGCGCAAUGAAAGUGAACGGAGGUGGGAGCCUCGGCGCACCAUCGACCGAUCCGGAAGUCUUCUGAAGGAUUUGAGUAGGAGCACAGCUGUUCGGACCCGAAAGAUGGUGAACUAUGCCUGUAUAGGGUGAAGCCAGAGGAAACUCUGGUGGAGGCUCGCAGCGGUUCUGACGUGCAAAUCGAUCGUCGAAUAUGGGCAUGGGGGCGAAAGACUAAUCGAACCAUCUAGUAGCUGGUUUCUGCCGAAGUUUCCCUC